GACGAACGCUGGCGGCGUGCUUAACACAUGCAAGUCGAACGGAAAGGCCCCGCUUUUGUGGGGUGCUCGAGUGGCGAACGGGUGAGUAACACGUGAGUAACCUGCCCUUGACUUUGGGAUAACUUCAGGAAACUGGGGCUAAUACCGGAUAGGAGCUCCUGCUGCAUGGUGGGGGUUGGAAAGUUUCGGCGGUUGGGGAUGGACUCGCGGCUUAUCUGCUUGUUGGGGGGGGAGUGGCAUACCAAGGCCUUGACGGGUUGCCCGCCUGGGAGGGUGGCCGGCCACAAUGGGGCUGAGGUACGGGCCAGACGCCUACGGGAGGCAACAGGGGGGAAUAUUGGACAAUGGGCGGAAGCCUUAAGGAACAGCGCCGCGGGCGGGAAGACGGCCUUCGGGGUGGAAACCGCUUUCGCCUAUGACGAAGCGUUAGUGACGGUAAUGGGUAGAGAAGCACCGGCUAACUACGUG
rnacentral:rRNA from 1 species